GAUGAACGCUGGCGGCGUGCCUAAUACAUGCAAGUCGAGCGAACAGAUAAGGAUCUUGCUCCUUUGACGUUAGCGGCGGACGGGUGAGUAACACGUGGGUAACCUACCUAUAAGACUGGAAUAACUCCGGGAAACCGGGGCUAAUGCCGGAUAACAUUUAGAACCGCAUGGUUCUAAAGUGAAAGAUGGUUUUGCUAUCACUUAUAGAUGGACCCGCGCCGUAUUAGCUAGUUGGUAAGGUAACGGCUUACCAAGGCAACGAUACGUAGCCGACCUGAGAGGGUGAUCGGCCACACUGGAACUGAGACACGGUCCAGACUCCUACGGGAGGCAGCAGUAGGGAAUCUUCCGCAAUGGGCGAAAGCCUGACGGAGCAACGCCGCGUGAGUGAUGAAGGUCUUCGGAUCGUAAAACUCUGUUAUUAGGGAAGAACAAAUGUGUAAGUAACUGUGCACGUCUUGACGGUACCUAAUCAGAAAGCCACGGCUAACUACGUG
rnacentral:rRNA from 1 species